CACACACAGACCAGGCAGGGUGCCGUGGGUUCACAGACACGGCCGCUUCACCUUCACGACACAACGGAGCAGAAUGUGCUGGCUCUGGGACUCAGACAGCACUAAAAACAAUAAACCGAGUUUCUGGAAAGUCAACGAUUGAAAAUACCUGUUAUUACCUGCCUCAGCCAGCAGACGCAGCCUGGGCCUCCCGCACGGUAAACGGCGACGCGCACAGCCGCGGAGUCACGGGGGAUUUCCGCCGCUCAGGGACCGACUGUGUGAUGGGCUGACGGUACCGAGCGUUAGAAGAACGCAAAUGAGUUCUAUUUUGGAACAUCUGACAGAGACGUGGCUUGUAGGAAGGUGAUGUUUUUAAAUAAUAUGUUUCAUGCCGUAUAGUUUCUUUUCAUGAAAACAAUGAGACAAACCAACAAACAAAAGCUGAGGGAAAUUCACCCAGGACAGUGACGCAACCCGUCUGUGAGGGGAAAGAUGACACUUCCAGCUAAGAUAAAAAUGCAGCAGCUCACGCUCCAUCUCCGUACGUGGAAAAUAAACCAGCAUCGCUUCAAGUAACUAUUGAUUCUGUUAUUAAAACACCGCCUGUUUGGUUUCCCAGAUCAUAGCAGUUAUUAAUGCAUUAUUAAUUCCGUAUAAGCUUCUGGCUUGUCAUUUCCAUUAAGCAGUGGAAUAAUUGCUGAGAGGGUGGGGGUCAGGAGGUGCGUUCACACCUCACUUCGCAAUCUAGAUGGAGGCAAGCGGCUGGGAAGGCCCUGGGACACAGACAGGCACCUGGCUAUGGCAGGGUUUGUUAUGUGUCCCAACCAGCCAAGUUUAUUUUCGCAGGGCUGAUGAGACAAAGAUUGGAAAAGGAGGAUUUCCGAGGCAGGUUUUGGCUGGCUGGCUGCAGGGGAGCCUGAAUUGGGGCUGUUUUCAGUUGAAAUUAUGAAACUCAACAUCCAAGUGAAGAUUGAAAUAUUUUUCAACUACCCAGACACUGUUCACAGGAUCUUUCGAGCAUCUGGACACCACUGGGUGGAUUUUUUCACUGUCGAGGAAACGUUGUUGUGGAAUAGGAUUAGUGAGGAGGCAGGGCGAGGGAGGGAGAGCCCUCGGUCCGCUGCCGCUGGGGGCUCUGCCUGCAGUGCAGCGUCACGGGAAAGCCCAGCACGCUUUCAGGAUGGGACAGCACAAUUUACUUGGUCUAAUUUGCCAGAGCUGCUUGAAUCUCUCACCGUUUUUUUUUUGUAGAUCCCAUUUGCUAUAUUUGGCAAGGGAAUUUCAGCCGACAGGAGGAGACCCAGCCCUGUCCUCAGAGAAGACGCUGUUUUACCCGGAUACAGUGGACGAGGGAGAUGAAAACGGCGGGCAGGCCGUGGGGGGUUUGGAUGGGUUGAAGGUAGCGAUUUACAUAAAGCAUCAGGGCAGUGUGGGCAGUCCAGAGGGGGACGUGUGUGUCUACCGCCGUUGUUGCUCCACUCUCCCUUGUCAGUGUCUAUGAGGUUGGCUGGCACUAGCAACCUCUGGCACCUCUGCUGAGUCUGGUGCUUGGGUGAGGGCCGAGCCGGAGCUGCUCUGGUUUUUGUUUAAUGGGACCCACUUUCCAGCUGAUACAAAUGAAAGUAGAAUGAUUGGAAAGCCAGAAGGGUCAGCAGUCCUGCAGGCAUAUGAAGCUUACGUAGUUUUAAGAGUUCCUGGAAGGCAGGCAGGGGUAAUUGUGCCCAGGAAGCUCCCAUGACUCCAGACGUUUUGUGGCCUCCUCCUGGGGAGUCCCCAGGUUGCUCCCAGUGUGGCAGCCCAUCUUUGGAGGCUGCCUCAGGGACAAACAGGCUCCUGGUAUUCUGAGCUGACCAGAGACUGCAGAACUGAUCAAUACUGACGAGCAGGGCUCUGUGCUCCUGAGAAGGCCUCCACAGCAGGGGUGCUGGCAGGGGGCGGGACACGCAGGCCCACACCCAUGACACUUCCAACUUCUCUCCCUGAGUCAAAGCAAACGAUAAUUCAAAC
ensembl:lncRNA